GAUUUCUGGGCUCAAGAAUUUGGCCGGCCACGGUUUCGUGUGUUAGUGCUUUGUUCUGUGUCCAUCCUUCCAAUUGCUAUUGGCUAUUCUUCAUUGAUUGGUCAGUAGUAUUGGAUCUUUUACUUUGAAAAAAUUAGAGUGUUUCAAGCAGGCUUUAUGCUAUGAAUACAUUAGCAUGGAAUAAUAAUUUAGGACUUCUGUUCUAUUUUGUUGGUUUCUAGGACUGAAGUAAUGAUUGAUAGGGACAGUUGGGGGUGCUAGUAUUCAGCGGCCAGAGGUGAAAUUCUCGGAUUCGCUGAAGACUAACUUAUGCGAAAGCAUU
rnacentral:rRNA from 1 species